GAGCGCUGAGGACACUUAUUUUGGAUUGAUCAUUUGACCAUGAUUUAUUUAUACGCUAUUCUGAGCUCCUA